CUCAUGAUGAUGCUCCAGACAAAACUCCGGUGCUUCAGCAUCAAGAAUCAGUGUCAAAACUUCCAGUACAGGAACAGAAAACUUCCAAAGGAGGAAAACACAUCACUCAAGAUGAAGUACUAGAUGGAAAUCCUAUGUUUGAGCGUCAAGACGCCACGUCAAAAUCAGAGAUUCAAAUGAAGAAACCAAGUUUUCACAAAGGGGAAACACUUACUACUCAGGAUGAAGUACCAGAUAGAUAUCGUAUUCUUGAUCAUCAAGACUCAGUGUCAAAAUCAGAGAUUCAAGUGAAGAAACCAAGCUUGCACGAAUG